UACGUAGGGUGCGAGCGUUUAAUCGGAAUUACUGGGCGUAAAGCGUGCGCAGGCGGUGAUGUAAGACCGAUGUGAAAUCCCCGGGCUUAACCUGGGAACUGCAUUUGUGACUGGCGAGCUAGAGUAUGGCAGAGGGGGGUAGAAUUCCACGUGUAGCAGUGAAAUGCGUAGAGAUGUGGAGGAAUACCGAUGGCGAAGGCAGCCCCCUGGGCCAAUACUGACGCUCAUGCACGAAAGCGUGGGGAGCAAACAGG
rnacentral:rRNA from 1 species